rnacentral:lncRNA from 1 species
GGUCUAGAAGCUCUCCAACAAGAGGGAGAUUGCUAGAACUUGUGUAACAAACCAGAUCUUGGUAUAAAAAUAAAAAUAAAUAAAAAUAGUGUGAGAUACUAUUUUUAUUGGAUUUAGAAAAGUAAAACAUAAGUCAGAAGUGACUUGUGCUGAAAUCGGAAUGAAAACAGAAGAUUUAGAAUUUUCUGUUGGAAACAGGACAGAUAAAUUAGCAGAAAAUGCAUAGUGUCAAAAAAUUAUAAAAACUAGAGGAUAAGUCUGGAUUAUUUUUAUGAGGCUAGAUUUAAAGUUUCAUGUAAUUCUGACACCCGGAAGGUGGAAAAUAAAAUCCGACAACUAUCUGAUAAAGAUUACAGUUCGGUACAGUUUUCGGUGACCAAACGGGGUCGAAACUGAAAUAUUAAAAUUUCUUUGGACUCGUUAAGUAAAACCGAACAUGACUGUCAAAUUUGAGCUCAAACGGAUAUUCAGGGAGCUCCGGCGAAAGAUAUUAGAUUUCGAGCUGACCGGAGAUAAAUAGUGUAUUGUUGAGGGGUCGAAACUGAAAUAUUAAAAUUUCUUUGGACUCGUUAAGUAAAACCGAACAUGACUGUCAAAUUUGAGCUCAAACGGAUAUUUAGGGAGCUCCGGCGAAAGAUAUCAAAUUUCGAGCUGCCCGGAGAUAAAUAGUGUAUUAUUAGGGGGCUUUGUGUAAAAUCUGCACUAGUCUUCUUCUUCUCCUCAACCAUAUGCAGCCACACACACACACACUCACACGCAUACAU